rnacentral:rRNA from 1 species
CCUACGGGAGGCAGCAGUGGGGAAUAUUGCGCAAUGGGCGAAAGCCUGACGCAGCGACGCCGCGUGAGGGAUGAAGGUCUUCGGAUCGUAAACCUCUGUCAGCAGGGAAGAACGGUCACUGUGCUAAUCAGCAGUGAAUUGACGGUACCUGCAAAGGAAGCACCGGCUAACUCCGUGCCAGCAGCCGCGGUAAUACGGAGGGUGCGAGCGUUAAUCGGAAUUACUGGGCGUAAAGCGCUCGUAGGCGGUAUGUCAAGUCAAGGGUGAAAUCCCCGCGCUCAACGUGGGAACUGCAUUUGAAACUGGCAGACUGGAGUGUGUGAGAGGAGAGUGGAAUUCCAGGUGGAGGAGUGAAAUCCGUAGAUAUCUGGAGGAACAUCAGUGGCGAAGGCGACUAUCUGGCACAUAACUGACGCUGAGGAGCGAAAGCGUGGGUAGCAAACAGGAUUAGAUACCCGUGUAGUC